UACGUAGGUGACCAGCGUUGUCCGGAUUUACUGGGCGUAAAGAGCGCGCAGGCGGUCGUUCAAGUCGAGUGUGAAAGCCCCCGGCUCAACUGGGGAGGGUCAUUCGAUACUGAUCGACUCGAAGGCAGGAGAGGGAAGUGGAAUUCCCGGUGUAGUGGUGAAAUGCGUAGAUAUCGGGAGGAACACCAGUGGCGAAGGCGACUUCCUGGCCUGUUCUUGACGCUGAUGCACGAAAGCGUGGGGAGCAAACAGG
rnacentral:rRNA from 1 species